AGCCUAUGAUGAAGUUCAGUUUCUGACACCUCGUAUGAGGGCUGCCUGAGCAGUACUUGAUUCCACUUCCUGCCUGAGGCUG
rnacentral:snoRNA from 1 species